UCGGAGCGCUUCAGGUGCUCGUCGGCUCACGUAAGUGGGCGGGAGGAAAGUCCGAGCUUCAUAGGGCAGGGUGCCAGCUAACCGCUGGUGGGGGCGACCCCGAGGAAAGUGCAACAGAGAAAGACCGCCGCGCUCUCACGCGGUAAGGGUGAAACGGCGAGGUAAGAGCUCACCGGGCCGAUGGCAACAUCGGUCGCAAGGCAAACCCCAUCCGAAGCAAGACGAAAUAGGGAAGCGUAGUUCACGCAGCAAUGCGUAAAUGGAAGAGUGGCCCACUUGAGCUUCCGGGUAGCGUCGCUAAAAACACGUGGUGACACGUGGAGUAGAUGAAUGAGUACCACUUCGUAAUCGAUGACGAUUCGAAGAACAGAACUCGGCUUACGAUGCCUCCGACCAC
rnacentral:RNase_P_RNA from 1 species